GACGAACGCUGGCGGCGUGCUUAACACAUGCAAGUCGAACGGAACGGCCCUGCUCUUGUGGGGUGCUCGAGUGGCGAACGGGUGAGUAACACGUGAGUAACCUGCCCUUGACUUUGGGAUAACUUCCGGAAACUGGGGCUAAUACCGGAUAUGAGCUCCUGCUGCAUGGUGGGGGUUGGAAAGGUUCGGCGGUUGGGGAUGGACUCGCGGCUUAUCAGCUUGUUGGUGGGGUAGUGGCUUACCAAGGCUUUGACGGGUAGCCGGCCUGAGAGGGUGACCGGCCACAUUGGGACUGAGAUGCGGCCCAGACUCCUACGGGAGGCAGCAGUGGGGAAUAUUGCACGAUGGGCGGAAGCCUGAUGCAGCAACGCCGCGUGCGGGAUGACGGCCUUCGGGUUGUAAACCGCUUUCGCCUGUGACGAAGCGUGAGUGACGGUAAUGGGUAAAGAAGCACCGGCUAACUACGUG
rnacentral:rRNA from 1 species